rnacentral:rRNA from 1 species
ACGGGUGAGUAACGCGUGGGAAUCUACCUAGUUCUACGGAACAACAGUUGGAAACGACUGCUAAUACCGUAUACGCCCUACGGGGGAAAGAUUUAUCGGAAUUAGAUGAGCCCGCGUAAGAUUAGCUAGUUGGUGGGGUAAUGGCCUACCAAGGCGACGAUCUUUAGCUGGUCUGAGAGGAUGAUCAGCCACACUGGGACUGAGACACGGCCCACACUCCUACGGGAGGCACCAGUGGGGAAUAUUGGACAAUGGGCGCAAGCCUGAUCCAGCCAUGCCGCGUGAGUGAUGAAGGCCUUAAGGUUGUAAAGCUCUUUCAGUGGGGAAGAUAAUGACGGUACCCACCGAAGAAGUACCGGCUAACUUCGUGCCAGCAGCCGCGGUAAUACCAAGGGGGCUAGCGUUGUUCGGAUUUACUGGGCGUAAAGCGCACGUAGGCGGAUUGGUCAGUUAGGGGUGAAAUCCUGGAGCUCAACUCCCGAACUGCCUUUAAUACUGCCAGUCUCGAGUCCGGAAGAGGUAAGUGGAACUCCUAGUGUAGAGGUGGAAUUCGUAGA